rnacentral:rRNA from 1 species
CCUACGGGUGGCUGCAGUGGGGAAUAUUGCACAAUGGGGGAAACCCUGAUGCAGCGACGCCGCGUGAGCGAUGAAGUAUUUCGGCAUGUAAAGCUCUAUCAGCAGGGAAGAAAAUGACGGUACCUGACUAAGAAGCCCCGGCUAACUACGUGCCAGCAGCCGCGGUAAUACGUAGGGGGCAAGCGUUAUCCGGAUUUACUGGGUGUAAAGGGAGCGUAGACGGCGGUGCAAGCCAGAUGUGAAAGCCCGGGGCCAAACCCCGGGACUGCAUUUGGAACUGUGCUGCUAGAGUGUCGGAGAGGCAGGCGGAAUUCCUAGUGUAGCGGUGAAAUGCGUAGAUAUUAGGAGGAACACCAGUGGCGAAGGCGGCCUGCUGGACGAUGACUGACGUUGAGGCUCGAAAGCGUGGGGAGCAAACAGGAUUAGAUACCCGUGUAGUC